rnacentral:rRNA from 1 species
GACGAACCGUACGAACGUUAUUCGGAAUCACGGGGCUUAAAGCGUGUGUAGGCGGAUCGUUAAGUGCCUUGUGAAAUCCCACGGCUCACCCGUGGAACUGCUGGGCAUACUGGCGGUCUUGAGCCACCUAGGGGCAACCGGAACAAACGGUGGAGCGGUGAAAUGCGUAGAUAUCGUUUGGAACGCCAAUGGUGAAAACAGGUUGCUGGGGGUGUGCUGACGCUGAGACACGAAAGCCAGGGGAGCAAACGGG